CAGUAGCCGCGGGAAUACGAAGGGGGCUAGCGUUGUUCGGAAUUACUGGGCGUAAAGCGCACGUAGGCGGAUCGAUCAGUCAGGGGUGAAAUCCCAGGGCUCAACCCUGGAACUGCCUUUGAUACUGUCGAUCUGGAGUAUGGAAGAGGUGAGUGGAAUUCCGAGUGUAGAGGUGAAAUUCGUAGAUAUUCGGAGGAACACCAGUGGCGAAGGCGGCUCACUGGUCUAUUACUGACGCUGAGGUGCGAAAGCGUGGGGAGCAAACAGGAUUAGAUACCCGAGUAGUCCCUGUCUCUUAUAA
rnacentral:rRNA from 1 species